rnacentral:rRNA from 1 species
GCAGCCAUGCCGCGUGUGUGAAGAAGGCUUCGGGUUGUAAAGCACUUUGUAGUGAGGAAGGUGUGUAGUUAAUAGCUGCAUUAUUUGAUGUUAAGGCGGAGAAGCACCGGCUAACUCCGUGCCAGCAGCCGCGGUAAUACGGAGGGUGCGAGCGUUAAUCGGAAUUCUGAGUAAAGCGCAUGCAGGUGGUUUGUUAAGUCAGAUGUGAAAGCCCGGGGCUCAACCUCGGAUAGCAUUUGAAACUGGCAGACUAGAGUACUGUAGAGGGGGGUAGAAUUUCAGGUGUAGCGGUGAAAUGCGUAGAGAUCUGAAGGAAUACCGGUGGCGAAGGCGGCCCCCUGGACAGAUACUGACACUCAGAUGCGAAAGCGUGGGGAGCAAACAGGAUUAGAUACCCUGGUAGUCCACGCGUCGAUGUCUACUUGGAGGUUGUGGCCUUGAGCCGUGGCUUUCGAGCUAACGCGUUAAGUAGACCGCCUGGGGAGUACGGUCGCAAGAUUAAAACUCAAAUGAAUUGACGGGGGCCCGCACAAGCGGUGGAGCAUGUGGUUUAAUUCGAUGCAACGCGAAGAACCUUACCUACUCUUGACAUCCAGAGAACUUUCCAGAGAUGGAUUGGUGCCUUCGGGAACUCUGAGACAGGUGCUGCAUGGCUGUCGUCAGCUCGUGUUGUGAAAUGUUGGGUUAAGUCCCGCAACGAGCCAACC